rnacentral:rRNA from 1 species
AUUGAACGCUGGCGACAGGCCUAACACAUGCAAGUCGAACGAGUGGCGGACGGGUGAGUAAUGUCUGGGAAACUGCCUGAUGGAGGGGGAUAACUACUGGAAACGGUAGCUAAUACCGCAUACCAUCAGAUGUGCCCAGAUGGGAUUAGCUUGUUGGUGGGGUAACGGCGCACCAAGGCGACGAUCCCUAGCUGGUCUGAGAGGAUGACCAGCACCACGAGAACUGAGACACGGUCAAGACUCCUACGGGAGGCAGCAGUGGGGAAUAUUGCACAAUGGGCGCAAGCCUGUUGCAGCCCUGCCGCGUGUAGGAAGAAGUCCGUCGGGUUGUAAAGUACUUUCAGCGGGGAGGCGUUACCCGCAGAAGAAGCACCGGCUAACUCCGAGCCAGCAGCCGCGGUAAUUC